rnacentral:rRNA from 1 species
UACAGGGGGUGCAAACGUUGCUCGGAAUCAUUGGGCGUAAAGCGCGCGUAGGCGGCCAGAUAAGUCCGGUGUGAAAGUCACAGGCUCAACCUGUGAAUGCCGCUGGAAACUGUCUGGCUCGAGUCCGGGGAGGGGCGAGUGGAAUUCCUGGGUGUAGCGGUGAAAUGCGCAGAUAUCAGGAGGAACACCAAUGGCGAAGGCAGCUCGCUGGAACGGUACUGACGCUGAGGCGCGAAAGCGUGGGGAGCGAACAGG